rnacentral:sRNA from 1 species
AGAUAGAUAGUGCUUCUUUAAUGCCUUC